AUUACAGUUUAGCGAGAUGCCCCGUGCCCAGCCCCACGCGGUGAGCCCUCCCUGGGGUAGAGCGAGGGCAGUGGGGUGCUAGAGCGAGAAACAGCGGGAGGGCCUGCGGGUGGGGGUCACGCCGGAGCCCCGCGCAGCCUCACUUCGCUGCCCCGGCCGUGGGCCGGCAGAACCGCGAGCCAGGACCCCUGGCCAACCCGAAAAGUAGCCGGAACAGCGAGGGAAGUCCGGAGGUGGCUCCAUCCUCCCGGUCCCCGCAGCCCGGGCUCUGGGACAGCUUUGCCGCCCCCGCCGCCGCGGCGCCUGGCGAAGCCUGACCCACGUCACGAGCCAGGUCGGAGAGGUGGGCACCUGCUUCUUCUGCAGAGGAAACCACACAUAGGAAGAUAACUUCAGAUUGAAGACCAUCCCUGGGGCAACUUUAGGAGUCAUUUGACCAUGUGCUGAGGGAUCCUGAGUUACUGGGUCACCACUGGACAACUGAAGGAACACUGGGGUCACCAGCAAAUACAAGAUGGCUAACCCCACGUGUUUGGAAGUCUCUUCCACUUCUCAAAACUGUCAGAGGCAGAGGAAGAGAGCUACCACUGUUGCAGCAUUAAUCUCCACUCCCUCCUCCCAUCCUUCAUCACCUUGGCCUGAGGUUACAGGGGCAACUUCUGAGAAGCAUGUGUGCCUUUGGAGGCAAACCAGCAUCCCCAAUUAUGAGGUUAAGAAUGAAUCCGUCUACAGGUGUAAUCAAGGGCACUGCCUCUUCCAACAGAACCUCGCAAGCCUGCUUUUACUGGAGGUCCAUCUGAAAAAUUUCUAGGAUUAUCAAGUUUUCUUAAAGCAUUUGUUAAAACUGUGAGACGCGAGGUGCCAUGCUAUACCCCGUGAGCUUGUCCUGUGGACCUGUGACUGCUAUUGAGAUCCGAGGUAGUGGAGCCACAGCCCGGAAGCGCGGGACGCGGUCUUCAGGGAGGGAAAGUGGGCGUGGCUUUCCACCUGGUGGGCGGGGCUCCGGAGGGAGACGUCGCCCCACACUUGGCGGCGCGGAAGACCUGCGCAGCUAUUCCUGAAAGGACCACUGCGUCCCAGAGCGAGGACACGCAGCGACCCUGAAGACUGUGCAGGAACGGACUUAGAAAGUCCUGUGAUAGGCGGGCCGAGGUGUCCCCAUCCUGCCUGCACCCACAGUCCAGGCUCUGCGACACCUUGGACCUCACGCGCGGGAGCAGCGAUGCUCGGCGGAGUCUGGGCGCUGGCGCUGCUGCUCCUGGCCCCGGGGCAAGGUCGGCAAGCUCAGGAGUGCUCUCCUGGAGGACACCAGUUUCUUCGGAGCCCUUACAGAAAUGUGCAUUUUGACUCAGUGCACCUCCAGCAUUCUCCCUCUCAAGACCUCAUCUGUGACCAUUCCCUCUCUCCCGGAUGGUAUCGGUUUCUCAUCUUUGACAGACCUGCUGAGAUGCCAACCAAAUGUGUUGAGGUGAAUCACUGUGGAACACAGGCCCCCAUCUGGCUGUCUCUGAAAGAUUCAGAGACACUGCCUUCACCUGGAGAGAUCAAGCAACUGACAGCUUGUGCCACAUGGAAGUUUUUGUUUAGUGCUGCAAAAGACUGCUGCCUUUUUCAAAUCCCAGUGUCUGUAAGAAACUGUGGAAAUUUUUUUGUGUACUUACUACAGCCCACUCAGGGAUGUAUGGGGUAUUGUGCACAAGCUAUUUCUGAUGCAAAAUUACACCCAUGUCACCCUGAUGAAGUUGAAAUUGGAGGUCACUGUGUUCGUCAGCUGUCUGCCUCAUUGCCACCACCACCCCCAGGAAGGCCAGAAGUUGUGGUGGAGCUGAUGGGAUCCAGGCUUUUCUGUAGGUGUGCUUUUGAGGUUUCCCCUACAAACACCUCAGUGGGAUUUCUCAUAACUUGGUCUAGGCUUUCUUCUCAAGAAAUCAAAGAGGAGCUGAAGCAAGAGACCACAGUUCAGGCAUCCUCUCUUUUAGAACUGGAUGGCAUUAAUCUCAGACUCGGAGAUAGGAUAUUCUGUAGCGCUUCCGUCUUUUUAUUGGAGAAACCACAUGUACAAAGUUUAGCCAUUGAAAGCCAAGAAUUUUUUGCAGGCAUUAAGUUACACCCUGAGUUAAGCACGAUAGCAGAAGAUGGGAAAGAAUAUCAAUUGAAGAUAGAGAGCACAGUUCCUGUCACUUGUUCUGCAUCCAGUGAGCUUGGCCAAGAGUGCAAAAUCUCAUUAAAACUGAAAACUCUUGAUCAAGGUAAAGAACAGCGAGGUUUAAAUUUGGCACUGUCUUCCUGUCACGUGGACCUUCAGCGGACAUCAUCCUGUGCUAAUGGGUCGUGUAGCCGUGCUUUUGUGUACUACACUGCUGUGACGGAUUUUUCUCGAGAUGGAGACAGAGUUACAAACAUUGUAGUGGAACCUAUAGUCCAUGAGGAUUUCCUGUGGAACACCUACAUUCCAGACAGCAUCCAGAUCAAAGUAAAGGAUGUCCCAACUGCUUACUGCUAUUCAUUUACUGACCCACAUAUAAUUACAUUUGAUGGCAGGGUAUAUGAUAAUUUCAAGACCGGAACAUUUGUGCUUUAUAAGAGUAUGUCACGAGAUUUUGAAGUCCAUGUACGCCAGUGGGACUGUGGAAGCCUUCACUAUCCUGUGUCAUGUAACUGCGGGUUUGUUGCCAAAGAAGAAGGUGAUGUAGUUACUUUCGAUAUGUGCAGUGGUCAGCUACAUGAAUCACGGCCAUAUUUAUCUGUAAAGAGCCAAGAUGUAACCAGCAAUAUCAAGAUAAGUGAAUCCUACUUAGGAAGAAAAGUCACAAUCAGGUUUUCUUCUGGAGCAUUUAUCCGUGCUGAUCUUAGUGAAUGGGGCAUGAGUUUAACAAUCAGAGCCCCUAGCGUAGACUACAGAAACACUUUGGGACUUUGUGGCACCUUUGAUGAAAACCCAGAAAAUGAUUUCCAUAAUAAAAAUGGGAUAAAAAUUGAUCUAACUUUUGAUAAUUGUGUUGCUUUUAUUAAUGAAUGGAGGAUUUUGCCAGGGAAAAGUAUGUUUGACACAAUGCCAGUUUCUCCGCCGUCACCUGGAAAGCUAUCCUAUUGUAGCUGCUCAUUGGACACUAAUUCAUUAUAUCCUUCUGAUCAUUUGGGCAGUGCUUCUCAACAAGAGAUUGUUUCAGGUUGCAAAGAUCUCAAACGUGUCAAAUUCUCUUUCUUGAUACCAGAACUAGAUAUCACCUCUGAGUAUAUUAAUUCAGAAGCUCUUAUCAGAGGGAUAAAUGAGUAUACAUCUGGAGAAGAAAAUAAUUUGAACUUCCUUCCUCAAGAAAAAAAGCAUGUGAACCUAACCAAAUUGGAGUUACAUUUACAAAAACAUCAUGGAAAUGAAAAACAAGAGGCACCAAAAACUUUGAACAAUGGGAAACAUACACAGGACCAGGGUAGCCACAGCCAGGAAAUGAGGCGGGAUCCACAAAACAGAUGGAAACGGCAAAACUUUUAUGAGUUUCUGCCUGUAUUUGCUUUCCAAAGUCUCAGCCAAAGUGACCUAGAAGAAUUUACUUAUUUCUUCCCUGAGGACCAUACUGAGGAUGUCCACCAGGAGUUUGUCCCUACAUGGCCCACACCCUCUGGUCUCACCGAAUUUGGCACUUUGGCGCUGUGCCAGCAGACUCUUGCCAACUCUAGUAUAGGAAGAUACUGUCUUGCCUUUCUGGGCAAGAGCCUAGACAGUGCUGUAGAUAUGUGUGUUAAAGAUGUUCUCCUAAAAGAUGAUCUUAGCUGGGCAGAAGCAGGUGUGGCUCUUUUAGAAAAUGAAUGUGAAAAGAGAAUUUUGGAAGAGGGGAAAUAUAACACAGAAGGAUAUGGCAAGUCAAUUGAAGACAUUCUCUCGGUACUCAAAUGCCCCAGUUUAUGCAGCGGCAAUGGGCAGUGUAUGGAAUGGGGAUGCGCAUGUUCCCCAGGCUUUAGUUCCUAUGACUGCAGUGAUUCACAUGACAAGGCUCCUGAAAUCAUAGAACUUGAGAAUGCUGGAUUCUGUAAUAUUCGAGAAUAUAAUUGUAUGACAGUGAGAGUAUUUGGUCAAGGCUUCAAAGAAUCACCUUCAAUUAAAUGUGAAGUUACUAAACUGCAGUAUAACAACAGUAAAUGGGUCCUUGGAAAAGCUGUCUACACGCAUACUGUUUUUCAAAAUAGCAGAACUAUCGAUUGUCAGCUGCCCCCUGAUGUUCAACAGUCUGAUAACAUGAAUCUGAUGGGUGAGAAACCAAUUGCAAAGUGGCAAUUAAAGGUAUCUAAUGAUGGUUAUACGUUCAGUAAUCCCAGAAUAAUGAUUAUAUAUGAUGGGGCUUGUCAAGUUUGUGGUCUCUAUGGGAAGGACUCAUGUACUAUAAAGGAAAAUGUUUGCAUUAUUGAUGGGCUCUGCUACAUUGAAGGAGAUAAAAAUCCUAUCAGCCCUUGUUUGAUUUGUAGACCAAAAAUUUCAAAAUUUACUUGGUCAUUUUUAGAAAACAACCAACCCCCGGUGAUUCAAGUACCACAAAACAAAUUACAGACAUUUUUGGGGGAGAUCUUUGUAUACCAGUUCACGGCCUUGGAUCCCGAAGGUUCUGACAUCCAUUUUACCCUGGACUCAGGUCCUGAGGGAGCAAAUGUUUCCUCUACAGGACUUCUCACGUGGAAAACAGAGUCCCAAACUCCACAGCAAUUCACUUUACGUUUUAACGAUGACUGCAAUGCUGAAACGAGAGUCACGAUUAUGGUGACUGUGAAGUCUUGUGAUUGCCUGAAUGGUGGAUCAUGUGUGUCAGAUAGUAAAUUUCCUCCAGGCAGUGGAAGGUACCUGUGUGUCUGCUUGCCUAGCUUUCAGGGCAGUCUCUGUGAAGUGAAUGUCACUGAGUGCCUUGCGAACCCCUGUGGCCUGGGCAGAUGUGUUAGUGGAUUUCCCGGUUAUUCUUGUGUAUGUCCGCCUGAAUUCAAGGGCAAAAAUUGCCAGGAAGAUGUUGAUGAGUGUGAAUCCAGGCCUUGCUUUCCAGGAGCAGAGUGUCUUAAUACCUUUGGCUCCUAUCAUUGUGGUUCAUGUCCAAAAGGAUUUUAUGGUGAUGGGAAAAUAUGUCAUGUUGAAACACAGUUUUUACAUGAAUCUACUACACAUACUGUGGUUCUUACAAGUUCUAACGAAAGUGAAACCAAGGAAGAGAAUGGUAAAAAUGCCGUACAGAGAGAAAGGCAUGUUAAGUCAACAAAUGGAAAUGCCUCUAAUAUAAAAUUUCAGCCACCAUCAACAGACCAUUCACCAUCCAGUGCAAGUUUUACCCACAGUCCUGCUACUAUCAAAAAGUUCUCGGACACAACCAGUGACAUCUCGCACUUUUCAUUAAAAUCAGUUACAACUCAAAUGAAUAAUUCAAAGAAUAUUAUUUCCCAACAGAUAUCAGGUUUUGAACAGGUGGAUCAUACCAUCAGCACAAAUCUCAGUCUGGAGGAAUUGGGAGUGUCCAUGAACAACCAUAGUUCUUUAAGCAUUAACCCAAACAGUUCCCAUGGUGAAGUAAAGGAUGUUACACAGAGCACCAUCCAAACAGAGGCAGGAGGGCAUAAUUCUCAAAUUAACAGGUCUGCACAAGGUUUCACGCGAUAUAAGGAUGCGUUUGCUUCAGUAGUUACUAAAGCCAUCACCAUUUUGCCAGAAAAGCCUGGAUGGACCAAAAUAUCAACUUGUGCUGAAUCACCUUGUUUUCUUGGUGUUUCUUGUGUGCCAACCACAGAUGGUCACUUCAGAUGUGGACGCUGCCCCUUUGGAUAUUAUGGAGAUGGUAUCAAGUGCAGAGCCAUUUGUAGACACCCAUGUGGAAAAAGCAGGGAGUGUGUUGCCCCAAACAUAUGCAAAUGUAAACCUGGCUAUACUGGUUCUAACUGCCAAACUGCUGUAUGUCAUCCUGAUUGCAAAAACCGUGGAAAAUGUAUUAAGCCUAACGUUUGUGAAUGUCCCCCAGGGCAUGGUGGAGCAACCUGUGAUGAAGAACACUGUAGUCCACCUUGUCAACAUGGUGGCACCUGCUUGGCUGGAAAUCUCUGCACUUGUCCUUAUGGCUUUAUAGGACCAAGGUGUGAAACAAUGGUUUGUAACAGGCACUGUGAAAAUGGAGGUGAAUGUCUUACACCAGAUAUUUGCCGGUGCAAGCCUGGCUGGUAUGGACCUACUUGUGGUACAGCUUUGUGUGACCCUGUUUGCCUCAAUGGUGGUUCCUGUAAUAAGCCAAACACUUGCCUCUGUCCAAAUGGAUUCUUUGGUGCACAGUGUCAGAAUGCUAUCUGUCACCCUCCCUGUAAGAAUGGCGGCCGCUGCAUGAGAAAUAAUGUGUGUGCCUGUCGUGAAGGAUACACCGGUAGGAGAUGCCAAAAAAGUAUCUGUGAUCCCAUGUGCGUGAAUGGAGGAAAAUGCAUGCAGCCAAACAUUUGCUCUUGCCCUUCUGGUUGGAGCGGGAAACAGUGCAACACAGCUAUCUGCUUUCAGAAAUGUAAAAAUGGUGGUGAAUGUAUUGCUCCCAGUAUAUGCCAUUGUCCUACCACAUGGGAAGGAGUGCAGUGUCAAAUACCAAUUUGCAAACAGAAGUGUCUUAAUGGGGGCAGAUGUGUAUUUCCCAAUGUGUGCUCUUGUCGCGAUGGAUAUUCUGGAGUCAAAUGUGAAAAGAAAGUACAGGUUAAAAAACAUGCAAGGAUUUACUGUUGGCCUCUGAAACUAAAAAUAAUAUCAUUUUUGUGUCAUGAUAGAGUUAUAAUUCAAAAUUUUGAUGUGCACACAAAACGCCAUUAAUAUCAAGGAUGUGAAUCACAAGCUUGUCAUAAGAAUGAAAUUUUUAUUCAGAAAAAGUUGAAGAUAACUACUUGAAGUUUAUUUGAACAUAAUUUUUAAAAUUAUUUUAAAGAUUGAAGAAACUAAUAACAUAUAGAAUGGUCUUACCUGUCAUUGUUAGAGAAAAGCAAAGAAGAAACCCAGAACUCAGCACCUACCCCUGAAAAUGGACUGCAAAAACUUGAGCCUGUUGAUGAUAACUGAUACAGUUUUUCCCCCCAGUUUUCAAUUUGCCUCCCAAGGACCUCCUCAUACAACUCAUCAUUGAUGUUGAAAAUGACGGACAGCAUCGUUGCCACUGCAUCCUCUAAUUAUCUGUUCACAAUGGCCUGGACUGCUCCGGAGUUUGCUGUGGACAAGUAUGUUGGACAGCUACCUAUCCCUGGUGUUGAAGAGUGGGUAACUGCCCUCAGGUGACUUCAUUUUCUAUCUUGUCUCACUUUGGUGAAAACUGCCUCCUUCUCUAAGGUACGAACCAUCAAGUUGAAGUUUUAGGUUUGAUUGAAUUCAGUGAAGAUGUUGACUUUGUAAAAAAGGAUAUAGAGAAAUCUCACAGAGCUCAAAGGCAAGAUGCGAAGUUGGGCUUAAUGAGAACCGAAAGCAAUCAAGAAAAUAGAACCACUCUUUUCUCUUACUGGAGCUGCAUAGAUCAUCUCCUCUUGGUUUUUCUAUAAAUCUCUAGCUCUCUCUGCUCUACUAUUGCUGUCCUUUAUAGAUCCACCUCAGGAUCCAACAAGGCCACCAAAUCUACACGGCAAUCUUUCAGUUCCCAUAGCAGCCAUCCAUUGGCUAGAAAACAUGUCAUUUAGUUCAAAAGUCUAGAGAGAGAAAAACCUCAGAAGGUAAGGAGGAGUCAGAGGAUUGGGUAGGGUUGUCCAUCCCUGGGCAAUCAGCCGUGAUCACAGUCAGAAGAGUCAUAUGGGUGGAGCUGCCUGUGUCGAGGCUCUGAGGAAGUUCACGUUCUGAGGUGGGCAUAUGACACAUCUGAAUACAGGAAGAUCCCAGGAUGCCGUCGUUUCCAGAGUUUGACUUUUGUGACGCUGAACUUAAUUGAGGUAAAUAAUUAGGCCAGAAUAGGCCCCUGUUCUUGAGAAAUUGCAGAAAAUUGUUGUCAAGGGAGAUUUUUUGUAUUUGGGUUAUUUUAUUUAUUUAUUUAUUUUAUUUAAAGAUUUACUUAUUUAUUUUAGAGAGGGAGAGAGGGUGCACUCAUCUGCUGACAAGUAGGGGGAGAGGCAUGAAGGCAAGAGUCUCCAGCAGACUCCCCUGAGGAGGAAUUCCCUAAACAGGACUCAUGACCCUGAGAUCAUGAUCUGGGCCAGAACCAAGAGCUGGAUGCUUAAGUGACUGAGCCACCCAGGCACCCCUGGGUUUUUUUAAAUUUAUGUAUUUGAGGCAGGUAAACCAAAGCCUGUGAAAAUAAAUGUCUGUUAAAGGACAGUGCUACAUAUGAUACUAUCUCCAGUCAACAACUACUUUAUUUUCACAAACUAUUCAGUAGUGUACUAUGAGAAUCAGAAGUGUUUUCUUGAUUUGAAGUAGAUCAAUUAUGUGAUUAUCAAACUGUCAGGUUACAUCGAGAGAGAGAAAAAAAUACAGUGUAUUGAACACGACACUAGGGAUUUUAACUAAUAUUAAUUAUUUAGACCUCAUAAGAUUAUUGAGAUAAGGAGAUUCAUUCCCAUUUUACAGCUGAAGAUCCUAAAGGCCGGAAAAGUCCAGUUGCUUAAUAUCCUGCUGCUUAUGUAUUGCAGUGAUUGUUUUUGAAUCUGUAUCUAUUUGAACUGAAGUCUAUUAUUUAACUGCAUUGUAUCACCUAUUUAAAAAAAAAAAAAAGCCAGGAAUUUUCGAUGGCUUUUAAUGGCUCAAGAACACUUGAUAAUUUCAGUAAAGGAUUUCUUUUGGGUAUCUCUUCCCCCAUAUCUUUUUGAUCCACAGUACACACUGAUAAAGAAAACUAUGCAUGUUAAAAUAAGAGGUUUUAACUUAUUCGUUUAUCCAGCAAAAAUAUUUUUGAAAGGAACACAUUUCAAGAAUACUUUCUGAAUUAGUAGCCUGUUUUAUUUUAGCUGUGGAAUAUGCAUCCGUGUCUAGAAAGGUGUCUGAUAAGAAAGAGCUCCCUGCAGAAAUAGGACCAAAGGCAGAAGAGCAGCAGGUCACUGGGCUGAGACUUUAGAGUUGGGGGAGCCUGAGUUUAAUUCACCCCCAAAUCCUUGUUCUACCUCUUCCCAGUGAUGUGGACUUGCACAGAGAACGUCUUCUCCUUCUAUGUUUAAUUCCUUCAUUUGUAAGAUAGGGGUAAAUAAUAUUUAUUUCACAGGAUUACUGAGUAAUUUUAAAUAAAAAAUGAGAUUUUUAGAAAUGAUUUUUCAUAGUGACUGCCAUCUAAUAAAUGCCAAAUAUAUGGGUUUUAUUAUGAAUAUUUAUGAUAUUACUGACAAUAUUUGUUACUAAUAUUUAUUAUUUAUAAUUUAUUGUUUCUGUUGAUGAAAAUAAAUCCGUGGAGCCAGCUGAAGAAAGGAUGACAGGUAGACUCCCCUACUUGGGAUUUAGGUUUUCCAAUGAUUACUGUAUAUGGAUGUUUCUUGUUCCCUGAUUAAAGAAUUUACUUUUUAAAAAGCAUUGAUUAAACAGUAUGUGAGUCGAAAACAAGAUAAAGUAAGUGAAUGUAAAUUUUAUAUCAAGUCUGGCAUACAAUUAGUAAGAACAAGACUAAAAAGGCAGCUGGCACAGAAUGACUACAGUUCGUGAGCUGCGUGCCUGCCAGGCUGGGUUGUGAGAGCUCUACACGGGUUCGGUUGAUUGCGCCUCCUCACUCAUCUGUGAGGAGGUGCUCUUCGCAGGUCAGCAUCGAGCCAGCUGUGGGCCCUCAGCCCUUUUGUCUUUCCGGCCCCUUCCCCCGCCUAAAAAUAUUUAAAAUGAUGUUCUACAAGUAGGUUGGUAAAAAGGCCAAUAUAUUAAUAUUAUAUUUUAAAACAUUUUCUUUGAGCUAAAGGUUUUUUUCCUGAUUUUAAAAGAAAUUAAAACAUUUUCUUGAGCCCUUAAAAGUACUGUGGACCCCAGUCCCUGUGCCUCUUGUGCCUGAUCGGGAACGUAGCCCUGCUGGCCGGCAUAGCCACGUGUGGCCCACGGUAAACCACGGCACUUGUUAAGGAGCCACUGUGCAGGCUCUGAGAGAAGAAAAGAAAGGGAAGACGAACUAGAUGGCAUUUCGCUUUGCAUUUGUAUUGUAAGGACCGCCUUCUUCAUUGGAGAAACAAUUUUACCGUCAGUUGGAAAGCUUUUGUGAAACGUCCUACUAACAGAUGAAAUGAGCUGACUUUUGCCUGCAGGUGGUGCUAGAUCCUCAGUUCCCAGGUACCACACCAGAAAUGCAAGAGGACCACUUCAGUAAGAGAGCAUAGUAAAUAUUUAAUGCAAACAGGACAUUCUUCAAAAUUAAAAUUCUUCAUUAAUACCGUAUCCGUCUUUCCUGCGAGCCUAGAUGUCUUCAUCACACCUGGGAAGAUCUUGAUGCUGCCUUGAUGUUGGUGAAUACAGAUGGCAGUCGAAGGAUUCCUCAUUCCCCUACUCUGACUGCUUUUUGCCACCUCAGCAUUCUCUGCUGAUGCAUUCUCGCUGAUGACUGACAAUUUCAGAGGACUGUAAAAGUGGACAGGAUUUUUUUUUUAAUUAUUUCAAAUCCCUUCUGGUUGUAAUUGUCAAUUUUUUCUUUGGAGUUGACCUGAAUCCUGUCUCUCCAUGUCAAAGAGUCAAGCCAUAUCCAGAGUAAUGCCAUAAGCACAGCCUGCUGCAGCAUUACACGUGAAAUGAUAAAGUAUUAGCAAUGGUAUGCAUAGUCUGACCUCUUCAUUGCCUACACAGUGGACAACAUAGAAGAGUAGAAUGGUUCGAUCCAGGAAAGAAAAAAAUCACAAGGCACCAACAGAUCUUGGUGAAAAAUGUGGAUACCUUUACAGAGAAAAUGCAUCAUGUCUCACAUGAGUCAUAGACAAAUACUUUGAAAAAAAAAUUUUAGUUAUAUUUGUCUCCCCAUAAAAGAAAUAGCUGUAGGAAAUGGAAAUUUGCAUUACCAGAACAUAAAGCCUGAAUUGCUCAUUUUGAGGGUUCGGCAUAUGGCUGUGUGCCUGGCUCUGCAGAGCAAGAGUGGGAUUUUUCUAGAGCCAUAUGGUUGAAUCAAGAAGGGCAACGGGCUAGAGCGGACAGAAGGCAGUUUACAGUUAAUGAUAAAGUCCUGAUGCAUAAUAUAUUCUGAAAAGCUUCCAACAUUAGAUUCACAUUAAAAAGGAGGAGGUUGCCAAGAAAUACAUUGUUUUUUUUUUCACCUGAAAUGAGAGAACAGAGAUCCCAAACAGAACACUACCUGUGAGCUCUGUUUAGAAGACCUAACCUUCCUAUCACUGUUAAGACAGGCAAUUAAGAGAAAAUUCCUAUUUGUAAUUGUUUUGAACACCAUAACAGUCUUCCAAGUGAGUAAUAUUGAGUUUCCACUAAAACAAAAAACUCCUUUACCAACCCAGGCAGGCAGGCCGAUUAUAAGCUCUGCCAGUCCCUAUUACUAAGCACCAGUGAGAAAACUUGCUAGAAAGAGGGAAUUGGUAGACUCCCCACCCUUAGGGAAUACUAAAAAGACAAGCGUGGAUGAAACCAAAAUGAAUAAUGUUCAUAACUUCUGAUAGAAUACUCAUGCGGAAAAUAUACAUGUGAGAUUUUAACUAAUGAGGCUCCAAGCUCUUUGUAAAAGCCACAUUGCAAUUAAUUAAGAUGAUUGCUACUCAUUAUUUUUAAAAAAGCAAAGUGAGUUCCUUAUUAUAGGCAUAAAACUGUCAGAAGAGAGCAAAUACUCUUAUACUACCAUAUGAUAGUUUUUACGCUAAACUAGAUAAAAUAUUUAAGACUAGCUUUAUUAUUUUUAAGCUGUUCAUUUGAGUUGGAAUUGGCAUAUGAUUAUGAAUACUUUAGCUAAUAUAUAAUAAUAAUUGAAUGAACAAAUGAAAAUUAAAAUCAAAAUCUGUAACCUUUCAUUGAGGUCCAAAUUUUAAUUAUCACAUCUACUAUUAAGAGUAGUGCUAUGAACUGGGAACUGUCCGUGAAAAUUUUUUUUUUUUUUAAAGAUUUUUAUUUAUUUAUUCGACAGAGAUAGAGACAGCCAGCGAGAGAGGGAACACAAGCAGGGGGAGUGGGAGAGGAAGAAGCAGGCUCAUAGCGGAGGAGCCUGAUGUGGGGCUCUCCCAUAACGCCGGGAUCACGCCCUGAGCCGAAGGCAGACGCUUAACCGCUGUGCCACCCAGGCGCCCCUGUCCGUGAAAAUUUUGAGAGAUGCAGACAUUAAAGAGAACACAUGGAGAUUUAAAAUAAUAACCUCUGAUAUGUUACUCUUCUGAUAAUUUAGUAAUUAGGGCAGUAAUUCCGCUGCCAAAAAUGUUUAUUGUGGCACAGUUUCCAAUAUGAAAAAAUAAAAAUUAAUAAGCAAUAUUUUAAGUGACUCUCAAUAGUAAAAUAGUUAAAUUACUAUAUACUCAUCUAUAGAAUUUCUGUAUACCCAAUAAAAUAAGAAUUCAUGCAGAACUGUAUCUCUUGUAAAGGUGGCUAUGUUUUAGCAAAUGAAGAAGGUGAGGAGGCAAAUUUCCAGACAAUAAAUACAGUAUACUUUCAUUUUAAAGUGUAUAUGUUUGCACAUGUGUAAAAACGUGUAUUUUUAAUAGCACAGAAAAUUUCUAAAAAGGCAAAUAUCAAAUGUUUUAAAUUGGAUAUGUCAGGAAAGUGGGAUUAGGAGCUGAAGAGUGAUAUAGGAAGUUUUUACUUAUUAUUUCAUAUAUCUUUGUACUGCUUAAAAUUUUUAUAGUGAUCCUAUUUUUGCAAUUUAUAUUUUUGCAGAAUUUCCAAUUAGCCCCAAACAAUGCAGCUUUCUUGACAUGCCAAUUAAGAGAUAUUCAGAAUAAUAAGAAUUGAAAAUCAAAGAACCAAUGCAUAGUUUUCUUUAACUGAAAAGGGUAAAUAAAAAUUAAUUAAAUUUAAACUUUAUUAUGUUCUUUGUAUAAAAUUUUAGCUACGGUACUUCUCUCUUUUCAGAGAAAAGAUUUUGCUAAUUCAUUAUUACAUAUGUAUUGAACUUGGAAACCAUUGUAUUUAAAUUAGGGAGAAUGGUUUACUGUCCCAUGAGUAUUAUCAUAAGAUUAAAAUUAAUUGCUCAGAAUUUUCAUAUGAGGCCAAACUGGACAGGUAAUCAGUCACAGGCUAAUGUUAUUAGCUUGAUUCAUGUUAUCAAACUGUAUUUCUAAUACCAUCAGGCAAGGGGGUGGGCAGGAGAGAAAUAUGCUACAUAUGAAAAUGAUGAAACCAAGUUCUUUUGAUUGCAUUGGUUCUACUAUUUAGAGGUCACAUUUACAGCUAAGAGUUGGGUUUAUUACCUGAAUAAUUCAAGCAAAGAGUUCACAUUUGCCUAAAUUUAUGGGAGAAAAUACACCACAAAAUAAUGUUUUAUACUUACAAGUUGUAGAGUGCCUAUUUGUAAAAUUUUGGAACAUUUAAAGGAAUGACUUAAUGAUACUUAAUAUGAAUUAAUGAACAUUUUACUUUACAGAUAGAAUUAAAAUGCUCUAUUCAUAAUACGUGUGUGUGUGUGUGUGUAUGUAUAGUAUGGGGCAGCUAGAGAUGAAGCAACCGUCCCAAAGACUCAUGAAUCAAAUGAAAUGCAAUGGCUAAUUUUCAGUAAACUAUAGAGGUCAGUUUUGAAUAGGUAGAGAUUUGUUUCAGAAGAGGACCAGUACCUUUCUUUUUGAAAAAAUAUGUGGUAUUUUAUGCAUGCAGAAGAAAAUAGUACUGUAUCUCUAAAGUUAUAAAGCAUACCAAAAUGAACACCCACAAUUCAAUCAUCCAAUCCAGAAAUAUGCAAUGUCAAUAUGAUUGCACCUACUUCUAUGCUCCUCUUGUGACUCUGCUUCUUCCCAGCCCAAACUGCUACCCUGCAUUUUGUUUAUUACCUGUGCCGGACAACCUCUAAGAUGGCCACCAAUGACUACCACUUUCUCAUAGUCAUACAUACCCUCAUGUAAUCCCCUUCCUUUGAGGGUGGGCUGCAUUUAAUUGUUCACUUCUAACAAAUAGAAUAUGAGAGAAGCAAUGGCUGUCAAUUCUUAGGUUAUAGAAUAACUAUAGCUUCUCUCUCUCUCUCUCUUUUUCUCCCCCUCCUCUCUCUCUCUUCUCACUUCCCCUGUUUUGCUCUCUGGCUUGCUCUGAGGAAUGCCAAUUGUCAUGCAGUCAGUUUACCUAUGAAAGGGUAGCAAAGAAUGAGGAGGGACUCCAGCCAACAGCCAGGAAGAACUGAGGCCUUUAGUCCAACAACCCAGGAGGAAUUGAAUCUUGACAACCACUCUGAGUGAUUUUGAAGUGGAUCAUCCCCAAGUCACGCCCUGAGAUGAGACUGUAGCCCCAGGCAUCACCCUGAUUGAAACCUCAAAGAGGCCCUGAGCCCAAGGCACUCUGUUAAACCAAACCUGAAUUCCUGACCCACAGGAAAUGAAAUAUAAACAUUUGUUAUUUUGAGACACUAUGUUUUGGAGUGGUUGUUAGUCAGCGGUAGACAAUUAGUAUAUUGUCCUUGACUUGUAUAAAGUUUUGAUGAAGAGAACAGAGUAUAUUAAUUUCUGCUAAAUCAAACUCUUAAAUUAUGUUGUUCAACUUUUCACCUUGCAAAUUUUUUAGCUGCUUAAUCUAAUAAUUUAGAAAGGCAUUGAAAUCUAUUAUCAU